rnacentral:rRNA from 1 species
AACGAACGCUGGCGGCGCGCCUAAUACAUGCAAGUCGAGCGAGAAGACGUAGCAAUACGUUUGUAAAGCGGCGAACGGGUGAGGAAUACAUGGGUAACCUACCCUCGAGUGGGGAAUAACUAGCCGAAAGGUUAGCUAAUACCGCGUACGCUCCUUGGACUUCGGUUCAGGGAGGAAAGCGAUACCGUGGGUAUCGCGCUCUUGGAUGGGCUCAUGUCCUAUCAGCUUGUUGGUGAGGUAACGGCUCACCAAGGCUUCGACGGGUAG